CAGUGAGGGCAUGGGUGCUAAGGUCCAUGUCCGAGAGGGAAAGAACCCAGAUCUACAGCUAAGGUCCCAAAGUAUAUGUUAAGUUGAACUAAGGCGGUCCAGUUGCCGAGACAGCAAGGAGGUUGGCUUGGAAGCAGCCAUUCCUUUAAAGAGUGCGUAACAGCUCACUUGUCGAGCGACAGGGCAUCGAUAAUAAUCGGGCAUCAAACAUAUCACCGAAGCUUAGAAUUGUAAUUUAUUACACUGGUAGGGGAGCAUUCUAUUCUGCAUUGAAGCUGUGGCGUGAGCCAUGGUGGAGCGUAUAGAAAAGCAAAUGUAGGCAUAAGUAACGAUAAUGCGGGCGAGAAACCCGCACACCGAUAGACUAAGGUUUCCCCGGCAAUGCUAAUCAGCCGGGGGUUAGUCGGGACCUAAGGCGAACCCGAAAGGGGUAGUCGAUGGACAAUGGGUUAAUAUUCCCAUACUACCAUACUCAGUGAUGGGGUGACGGAGUAGUGAAAGCGCCGCGAACUGACGGAAUAGUUCGUUAAAGGGUGUAGGUAUUGGACCGGUAGGUAAAUCCGCCGGACUAGCUGAACCUGAUAGUACCACAAUCCUUCGGGAGCGUGGAUAGUGCGCCUAAUCAGACUUCCAAGAAAAACCUCUAAACUUAUGAAUAUGGUACCUGUACCGUAAACCGACACAGGUAGUCAAGGAGAGAAUCCUGAGGUGCUCGAGUGAUUCAUGGUUAAGGAACUAGGCAAAAUAGCCCCGUAACUUCGGGAGAAGGGGCGCCAUCAGCAAUGAUGGCCGCAGUGAAAAGAUCCAGGCGACUGUUUAUCAAAAACACAUGGCUUUGCUAAAUCGAAAGAUGAUGUAUAAGGCCUGACACCUGCCCGGUGCCGGAAGGUUAAGGGGGGGAGUUAUCCUUUGGGAGAAGCU
rnacentral:rRNA from 12 species